CUACGGGCUGCAGCAGUGGGGAAUAUUGGACAAUGAGGGAAACCUUGAUCCAGCAAUACCGCGUGUGUGAAGAAGGCCUGCGGGUUGUAAAGCACUUUCAGUUGGGAAGAAGUGUUAUAGUUUAAGAGAUAAUAAUAUUGACGUUACUGACAGAAGAAGCACCGGCUAACUCUGUGCCAGCAGCCGCGGUAAUACAGAGGGUGCGAGCGUUAAUCGGAAUUACUGGGCGUAAAGCGUGCGUAGGUUGUUAUAUAAGUUAGGUGUGAAAUCCUGGAGCUCAACUUCAGAAUUGCGCUUAAUACUGUAUAACUAGAGUCUUGGAGGGGAUAGUGGAAUUUCCGGUGUAGCGGUGAAAUGCGUAGAUAUCGGAAGGAACAUCAGAGGCGAAGGCGACUAUCUGGCCAAAGACUGACACUGAGGCACGAAAGCGUGGGUAGCAAACAGGAUUAGAUACCCGGGUAGUC
rnacentral:rRNA from 1 species